UGCAAAUUUUCCUUCUUUCGAGAGAAUUGAUUUUACUUAAAAAGUCUCAAAUAUCUUUGUGUACGAAUUUUUUGCUUAGGAACAAAAUUCUAUGCAUUGUAGAAUUUAUAGCUAGACCGACUGCUUCAACGACACUUAUUCAUGAAAUCAUAUUGAUAUAGUAUUAAGAGUCAAUUAUUGAACCCAUAAAAACAUUAUAACUGGGAAUAUAUUUUUUAUCCAAAACUUAAAAAGAAGCAAUUUAUGCAAAUGAUCAAAUUUAGAGUUGCCCAAAAUGUUGCAACUCAGAAGCACAAACGGCAAACCUCCCGCCGGCGUCGAAUAUCUCUUCGUUUUGCCCAAUCGCCAAAUCCAGCAGUAGUAAUAUGAACUUUCUGAUCAAUGUCGACAAUGAAUCGGAACUCAGAAGCACAAUUUUCUUCCUUUUGCUCAAUCGCCAAAUCCAACAAUAGGAGUAUGAACAAGGCCUUCACAUUCUGAUCAAAUCUGAGUACUAGACAGAAGAAAGCAAAUCAAAUUUGAGAAAGAAGAGGCACAGUAGUUGGUCGAGGACGAAAAUCAAACUUAUGAUUAUCUUAUAUUCAUGUGGUCAAGAAGUCGCAAUUCAAACUGUGAAGUCAAGAGUUUGGAUCUAAAUGGCUUCUUGGUCACGUUAAUACACUUGGCUACCUUUGUCGUCUAUUAUCAUGUGAAACAGUUCUGGUAUUUGCUGUCCAAGAUGCAUUAUAAAUUGCUGUGAUCAUUUGGUCAACGUUGCCUAUGCUACUCCUGAACUAAUUAGCGAUUCAAUUUAGUAAAUUCACGGAUUCUCUUCUGAUAACGGGCUCUUGAUGUUAAAGAUGCUUUAUUAUCCAUGGCUUGAUACUGGUAGAUGAGUCUUUUGAGUA